rnacentral:rRNA from 1 species
AACGAACGCUGGCGGCAGGCCUAACACAUGCAAGUCGAGCGCCCCGCAAGGGGAGCGGCGGACGGGUGAGUAACGCGUGGGAACGUACCCUUUGCUACGGAAUAGCCUUGGGAAACUGAGAGUAAUACCCCAUAGAAUUAUUGGACGGCAUCGUUUGGAUAAUUAAAACUACGGUGCUUGGGGAUAGAUGUGCGUCUGAUUAGCUAGUUGGUGAGGUAACUGCUCACCAAGGCGACGAUCAGUAGGGGGCUGAGAGCGUGGCCCCCCCANACGGGUACUGAGACACGGACCCGACUCCUACGGGAGGCAGCAGUAAGGAAUAUUGGUCAAUGGAGGGAACUCUGAACCAGCCAUGCCGCGUGAAGGAUGAAGGUCCUAUGGAUUGUAAACUGCUUUUAGCAGAGAAGAAAAGCAUCCUUUUAAGGGUGUCUGACGGUAUCUGCGGAAUAAGCACCGGCUAACUCCGUGCCAGCAG